rnacentral:misc_RNA from 1 species
GAUGAAGAACGUAGCGAAAUGCGAUAAGUAAUGUGAAUUGCAGAAUUCAGUGAAUCAUCGAAUCUUUGAACGCACAUUGCGCCCGCCAGCAUUCUGGCGGGCAUGCCUGUUCGAGCGUCAUUUCAACCCUCAAGCUCCGCUUGGUGUUGGGGCCCUACGGUUGACGUAGGCCCUUAAAGGUAGUGGCGGACCCUCUCGGAGCCUCCUUUGCGUAGUAACUAACGUCUCGCAUUGGGAUUCGGAGGGACUCUUGCCGUAAAACCCCCAAAUUUUCUAAUGGUUGACCUCGGAUCAGGUAGGAAUACCCGCUGAACUUAAGCAUAUCAAUAAGCGGAGGA